UACGAAGGGGGCUAGCGUUGCUCGGAAUCACUGGGCGUAAAGGGUGCGUAGGCGGGUCUUUAAGUCAGGGGUGAAAUCCUGGAGCUCAACUCCAGAGCUGCCUUUGAUACUGAGGAUCUUGAGUUCGGGAGAGGUGAGUGGAACUGCGAGUGUAGAGGUGAAAUUCGUAGAUAUUCGCAAGAACACCAGUGGCGAAGGCGGCUCACUGGCCCGAUACUGACGCUGAGGCACGAAAGCGUGGGGAGCAAACAGGG
rnacentral:rRNA from 1 species